CUAUUCUUGGCAGUUGGCAAGGUCUUCAUAAGCUAACUCUUGUCCUAUGAAGCUAACAAUUAUGAAUCUGUACAAGUACGUGCGAAAAACCUCGAAGAUACUCAAUAUUUGGGCCUAAGCAAGCUUGCCAAAUAGGGGAAAAGCUGGCCUAAGGGCCCUGACCAAAGGGGACCUAGGCGUCACACAGGGCUAGAACUCCUGUCCCAUGACAGGUGGCGCAGGGUGAGGAGCAAUGUCCUGACUUGCUCGCAAACUUGAAUCAAGGAGAACCUUCGUAGACAGCAAAGGAGGUAGAGACGUCAGAAUAGAGUGAGUAUUGGAU
rnacentral:misc_RNA from 1 species